rnacentral:rRNA from 1 species
AUUCCAGCUCCAAUAGCGUAUAUUAAAGUUGUUGCAGUUAAAACGCUCGUAGUCGGAUUUCGGGGCGGCUUCGCCGGUCUGCCGAUGGGUAUGCACUGGCGAGGGCGUCCUUCCUUCCGGAGACUGGCCCUACUCUUAACUGAGCGGGGUCGGGAGUCGGAUCGUUUACUUUGAAAAAAUCAGAGUGUUUCAAGCAGGCAUAUCGUUCUUGCAUGGAUUAGCAUGGGAUAAUGAAAUAGGACUUUGGUGCUAUUUUGUUGGUUUCGAACACCGAAGUAAUGAUUAACAGGGACAGUCAGGGGCACUCGUAUUCCGCCGAGAGAGGUGAAAUUCUCAGACCAGCGGAAGACGAACUACUGCGAAAGCAUUUGCCAGGGAUGUUUUCAUCA